AUUGAACGCUGGCGGCAGGCCUAACACAUGCAAGUCGAACGAGUGGCGGACGGGUGAGUAAUGUCUGGGAAACUGCCUGAUGGAGGGGGAUAACUACUGGAAACGGUAGCUAAUACCGCAUACUAUCCGAUGUGGCCAUAUGGGAUUAUCUAGUAGGCGGGGUAACGGCUCACCUAGGCGACGAUCCCUAGCUGGUCAGAGAGGAUGACAAGCCAAACUGGAACUGGGACACGGUCCAGACUCCUACGGAAGGCAGCAGUGGGGAAUAUUGCACAAUGGGCGCAAGCCUGAUGCAGCCAUGCCGCGUGUAUGAAGAAGGCCUUCGGGUUGUAAAGUACUUUCAGCGGGGAGGCGUUACCCACAGAAGAAGCACCGGCUAACUCCGUGCCAGCCGCCGCGGUAAUAC
rnacentral:rRNA from 1 species